UGGCAAUGUCGCAUAGUUUCGACAGCCGAAACGAUUGCGCAUCGUCCAAGGUCCUAUUUCUGUCAACGGGCGAACACCAAAAUGUAAACAACAAAUCAAAACCAGAAUUCAAUUGGGACAACAGAAAUUCUGAAUCAAGGGAAAAUACAUCAAGCUGGAGACGUGGAAAGUCUUUCAUGUACCUUACGCUCGGGAUCGUUAACUAUUGGAAUUUUACCCUCGUUACAGAUGGAUUGAUCUGAAGUGGUGGUGAUAAGUUAGCAUCAGCUGAUCGAAGUUCGAUAUACGGGACAAAGUGAUGCAACCUCCUGACUAUUUUUUAUCGGCUAGAUCUAUUAGAAAGGUCGUUUUGGGUUUUGGUGUGAUACUGUGAACAUGUUGAACUUCCACAAGAUUACGAAUAAAUUUUUACCUCUCUCGAUUGAAUAUAGUGAUUUGUAAGUCAUCACAUCGUGAAGUGUAAUUAUUGUGAGUGAAAUGAAGAGUCAUAGCAUUUUGUUAUACCUUACGUA